GUAGUCGGGUUGGGUCAAUUCGGUUCGGUUCGGUUCGUUAACGGGUUUAGCUGGAUUGUAAUCGGGUCGGGUUUAUAUCGGGCCGGGUUCGUGUUUAGUCAGAUCAAUUCGGAUACAAAUUACAAAAAAUGUCGGGUUAUUAUUAAAAUCACAAUUUUCAAUGCGCUUAUAUUAUAAUAUCUACAUUAUUGAAGCAAAGUGAAAAGGUAAAAGAGCCCAUACAAUUUGAUUACGUGAUUUAUAACUAAUUUUAUUUUCUUUUUUGACGAACAACUAAUGUAGUAAUGUUCACUAUCCAAUUAAUUUCAUAAACUUAAUUAAGAAAAGUCAGUCGAUGUCUUUUAUUAUGUCCUGUAGUAUUUACCAAUCAUAUUAUUCAAAUGGAAUCAAAAUCAUCUAUGCCCUCCCCUACCAUGUCAGAGUAUUAUGAAACAUGUAUUGAUGAACUAAAUACUAAUAACGUAGUAAUUAAUAAUGGACAAUGAUGAAUUAAUACGUAAUGAAUUUGUAAAUUUUGUAAAUACAAGUUUGUCAUACAUUCAUAUUGGUUUAAACAGCAAUGAGCCUAACAUGUUCAACAACGGAACGAGACAAACAAGUUCAAUUGUUAAUGAAUUAAGUCGAUUCAAUUAAAACAACAUACCUUUUUUAUUAGUUCUUGGGUUAUAAGCUUAUAAGUUGGUAUUGAAUUAGAUCAAUAUAGUUUAAUGAUCGAUUAGACGAUUAGUCAGUUGAAUACGAGUCAAUAAAAGAGUGCAAGACUAAUAAAAUACAAAUUCAUGAGUUUUAUACUUUUAUAACAUUGUCAAGAAUUAAGGAAUAUAACAUUCUAUAUUUUAUUACUCUAAUAAGCUAAUAACUGAUGAAUUGAUGAUUAUAAUUAUUUUGAACUAAAAGUCCACAGAACUAUAACUAUGUAAGGAUAUAAAUCUGUAACGAUAUAGUGUAAUUAUAUAAGUAUAUAACUUUAUGAGAUUAUUAGUUUAGAACUAUCUAAUUAAUUCGAUAUAUUUAUGGGAUUAUAAGUUUACAAGUAUAUAACUAUGUAUGACAGUAAUUAUAUAACUAUGUGAAUAUAUAAAUAACUUUAUGAGACUAUAGAUCCGUUUACAUCUAUUUAAUUGUACAAGACUAUAACUAUACAGUUAGGGGUGCUAACGAGCCAGUACGGCUCGCAAACUAUUCGGAUUUGGCUUGGUCAAAGCUUGGCUCGGAGGGGGUUGAUUCGGUUUGUAAUCCAAUUUGGGCCUUAAAUAAUACUCCACUAUACACUAAAGUCCCACAUUGGUUAAGAAAACAAGCACCAAUCUAAUUUUCUUUAUAAAUAGCUACUACUCCUCCCCUAAGCUUAGAGUUUGAUUUUGUACCACAUUGGUUGGAAAAAAAACCUUAUACUCUAUUUUCUUCACAAAAGGAAUGAAGUAUAUUUUAAAAUAUUUGAUUAUUCUUGAAUUAAACUAAUUAAUAAUUUAUUAUUUAAAUGCACUUAGAGUCUUGUUGUUAUAAUAAUAUUUCAUUUCAUUGUUUGAAAUUUUUUAAAUAAACAUGAAGUCCCACAUUGUAACUUCAGUGAAGUUAAGAGUGGAAUCAAGUUAUAUAGGAAUAUGUGGGGUGAAUUUUUCUCUUAAACAAACAUGGAGUCCCACAUUGAAAUUUUAGUCAAUGCUAAGAGGGAAACCAAGUUAUAAAAACAUACCAAGUAUGUAGGAUGACUUAAACAAAACAUGGUGUCCCACAUUGAAAACAUAGCAAUGCUAAGAGAGAAACCAAAUUAUAAAAGCAUAUGGUGGGUAGCUUUAGUUUUUGACUUGAGCCUAAGCCCAACUUUUUCAAACUAAGUUUCGAGCCGGGACUCAAGCUCAGCUUGGACUCAAGCCGAGUCCAAAUAUUGGAGGCUUGUCGUGCUUAACAUCCACUAGUUUCGAGCCGAGCCGUGCCUUAGCAUGUUCGGUGUUGGUUUGACUUGUUAACAUCCCUACCAUACAGUAAUAUAUCCUAUUGAAAAUAUAUGUUCAGUUACUCGUUUGGUUGAUUAACAACCGUUCAAACAAAAUCUAAUAAUUUUAUUAUAACACGUAAAAGAAACAAAAUCUAAUAAUUUUAUUAUAACACGUAAAAGAAAUUUGUAAACUGUAAUCUUUUAAUUCCAAUCAUCAUAAUUUUAUUUUUUUUUCUUGAUUUUUAAUUUAGUUAUUUUUAUUAAUAUAAUUAUCUCGCAUUAGGAAUUAAGACAUAAAUAUUCAUUCCAAGUGCAGCAACACAAUAAAGAGCUUGCAAGUUGGUGACAAAACUCGUAAUUAGGACUUCAUAAUACGGAGUAAUUGGCUGAUGAAUUCGUUUAAUUCAUUUGAUAUCUUAGCAUUUCGGCUCUGUUUGGUAUGGCGGAAAACAUUUCAAGUUAAAACUUAUUUUCGAGGCGGGUUAUAAACGGUUUGAAUUAAACGGGUAGUAAACGGGUUACGGGUUGUAAACGGUUCGGGUUGUAAACGGUUCGGGUUGAAACAGUUCGGGUUGUAAACGGUUCGGGUUGAAACAGUUCGGGUUGUAAACGGUUCGGGUUGAUACAGUUCGGGUUGUGAACGGGUUUUUCCCGGGUCGAAACGGUUUGGGUUGAAAUAAAUCGGGUCAUUAACGGUUUUCGGGUCCAUUCGGUUCGGGUAGGAACGGUUCGGGUUGACGCGUGGCGGUUUGUUAUCGGGUAUCGGGUCUUAAUCGGGUUAAUGUUUUCGAGACGGUUCGGGUUCGGGUUGAAUAUUAUCGGUUCGGUUUAGUUUCGGGUUCCAAUUAACGGGUUAUUAACGGUUCGGGUUCUUAACGAUACGGAUUAACCCAACGGGUUCAACGGUUCGGGUUGAGAAUUGACAGCCCUGUUGCGAUCUGUGAUCGUUAGAUUAACUAGGCUUGGGCGCUAGGGGGGGCAUUGGGCCGCCCCAGAAGCAUCUUAAUGUGAUCGCUAGAUUAAUUGUAUAACACCAUACUUUUGAAAACUAAAAUAGUUAUGAUAUAAAAAAUUGUAUGGAUAGCUUAGUAUUCACUCAAACCACUCUUUUUUAUAUUUUCCAUUUUACCUUGUUCGUUUAUUGACCCGCCCUAUCAGCCCGUUAUUUACCCACGACCCGCCCACUAUCAGUCUGUUAUUUACCAACCGCCUGCUUUGGCCCGCCUCAUAUUGACUCGCUAAAAUUGAUCCUUUUAUUAUCCGGCUCGCUUAUAACCUGCACUGAUUUUGACCCGACCAAUAAACAGAUCUACACGUAUGUAACCCUCAUGGGCCAUGGGCCCAUUACCACAUAAAUAAUAAAGGAACCUAUAUCGUUGGAAUAUGGACCAUUGGAAAUUAGCCUUGUGGAGUCUACUAAAUAAAACGUGUAUAAAAACACUUUACGACAAUUAAAAAACCGUAUUUGUCCUGAAUUCCUGAUGCUAUCGCUAGAUACUUGGUCUUGGUACUCCGUAUUAGAGAGGAGUAACAUUGACGACCAACUACCAAUUGCCUGCCUUUAAAUAAGGGGGUUUUUAUUCGACGUCCUAUUUCGUUAAAAACGUCCUCAUUUCAAAGACAAAAUUACACUGUUACCCCUAAAAAAUUAAUCCCCUCUCUUCCCUUCCCCUCUCACCCCAGCCGUAUUCCAGUGCUGUAAAUCACCACCACCACCAGAAACCGCACCACCACCAGAAACCGCGCCAGUCCACCACCACCACCAUAAACCGCACCACGCCACCACCACCAUCACCGCACACACUGCACUUGCGACGCAUCAGUGCCACUACUACCCCCGCAACUUGUCGAUGGUCGAGGAAACCGCUGCCCCCUGUCGCUGCUCGAGAAAAACCCAACCACCGCGUCGGUUCGGUUGCUGCGUCCCAAUUACCGCGCCGCCCCAACUAUGGCCCAGCCUCCGCCUGCGACUCUGCGAGGGGUGGAUGGUGGUGCGGUGAAGAUCAGCAUGUGAAUGGGUGGUGAUGAUGGUGAAGGGACUGUGAGGAUGGUGAAGAGGCGAUGAUGGUGUUUGAAGAUGAAAGGUGGUGGUGGUGGAGAUGGUGAGGUGAGGCAGGGCUGCCGGAUUUUGUCGCCGGACGGACUGCCGGGAUAAGGAGGAGUGUGAAAGCUUGAGGUGGGGUAGAGCUUUAUAAGGACACAACAGUCC